GCAGCAGUGGGGAAUAUUGCGCAAUGGGCGAAAGCCUGACGCAGCCAACCCGCGUGGGUGAUGAAGGCCUUCGGGUUGUAAAGCCCUGUCGUGUGGGAAGAAACCUGACGGUACCACACAAGAAAGCACCGGCUAACCCCGUGCCAGCAGCCGCGGUAAUACGGGGGGUGCAAGCGUUGCUCGGAAUCACUGGGCGUAAAGCGUCCGCAGGCGGCUUGAUAAGUCGGGUGUGAAAGCCCGGGGCUCAACCCCGGAACUGCAUUCGAAACUGUCUGGCUUGAGUACGGGAGAGGGUCGCGGAAUUCCUGGUGUAGAGGUGAAAUUCGUAGAUAUCAGGAGGAACACCGGUGGCGAAAGCGGCGACCUGGCCCGAUACUGACGCUCAUGGACGAAAGCGUGGGGAGCAAACAGGAUUAAAUACCUG
rnacentral:rRNA from 1 species